UUAUUUACUUGCGAUUCUUUAUAUCGAGUAAGAGCAUAUGUUCGCGUGGAACUUAUUUAUUUAUUUGUUAAGGAAUUAAUUACUCAUUUCUUGUUUUUCCACAGGUGUAUUUCGAUUUUAAUAUUUGAUAUCAGUUGCAGUAACAGGUUAGCUCAUCCAUAAAAAUGAUGACACUCAAACCAUAAACAGCCGCCGAUCACCCUGUUUUGCCGGUUGGAGAGAUAUCAACUUCCAACUGCACUUCUAGUUUCAGAGAGCUGCUUGUGAAAGCACUUAUUUACAAAUCUUCCAUCAGAGUUACUUCUCAAGAAUCAGUCUUCUGCCACUGUGUGAGAUGGGAACGCAUAAGAAUAGAGAUAGGAUUAGCUAUCUGCCUUGGGAUGUAUUGGACAACAUCCUCGUUCGCUUGAAUUUAAAAGAAGUUGUGAGGACUAGUAUCUUAUCCAGUAACUGGAGACAUAAAUGGACUGGCAUUUCACAGUUUGUUCUUGAUGACAAAUGCAUACCGAUACGGAUAUCGGACAAGGUGGCAAGAUGGGGAUCCAUUAUGGAAAUCAUCCGUCAAGUUCAGUUAUGUCACGACGGUGCAAUAGAGAAGUUUAAGCUUGCUGCUUAUUGCCAGCCAGACCAUUCUGAUUUAGACCAGUGGAUUCGUUUUUUAACAAGCAAAGGCCUCAAGGAGUUGAUCCUGCAGGAGUUUGAGGUUGGAGCUUUUUGGUUGUAGAUUCAAGCCAUCUUCUGUAGUCAAUGAAUUUAGGAGUCUCACAACCCUCCAGCUCAAUCAAGUUUGUAUAAGUGGUCGCAUGCUAGAGUGUUUAGUUAGUAAUUCCCCUGUUCUUGAAAGAUUGAUUUUGUUGGAUAUUGAUCAUCAAAUUGUUCUUCGAAUCCGCAACCCGAAUCUCAAGUAUCUGAGAGUAGAUUCCAACUUUGAUGAUAUAUGUCUUGAGCACAGUCCAUUACUAGCUACUGUUGACAUUGGCUUGAGGGUUGGGGUCACACCCCAAUUCGUCAAUUCUGGAGGAGGCCAGUUGGUCAGGAUUAUUGGCCGUCUACAUGCUCUUAGGAAACUUACCCUAUCCAGUGCCUUCCUGAGGUUUCUGGGUAAUAUUAGCGUACCAGACAGACUUCCUACUUUGCUUCAACAUCUGUCAGUUCUUGAGCUCAAGGAUGUAAGGUUGGAUAGUAUGACAGAAGUGAUGGUUUGCAUCUGCAUUUUUAGAAGCGCUCCAAACUUAGAGAAACUGCUCCUUUCAGUUGCUGGUACAACUGCAUAUUCCAGACCUAACGUGGAAUUUCUCAUCACAGAGUCUUUGUCAAAUCUCUACUUUGAACGACUUAAAGAAGCAUCUAUAAGAGCUGUACAAGGCGUUAUACCGGAGUUGAUAUUGAUUCAGUUUUUACUGGCUCGAUCGCCUGUGCUCAAAAAAAUGACUAUAGUGCAUUAUGGAAGUGAAAGGCUACCUGGAGAAUCGUUGCAGCAAUUUGUGCCAGCUUCAAAGGAUGUGAAAAUUUUCAACUUAUCAAUGUGAAAGUAGCUCCUCUUGUUACAUUCUAACUUUUCUUUUUGGUUCAACUUAUACUGGGCACCCUUCUUUUAGUAUAAAACAAGCUCUUCAAUGGUUUUGCUUAUUAACUUGAUUAUGUUAGUGCCAGUCUUUGGGGAUGGAGCUAUGUU